CAUCCAGUUUUCUAAAUUAUGGAAAUUUUGUGGAAGACGUUGACCUGGAUUUUGAGCCUCAUCAUGGCUUCAUCGGAAUUUCAUAGUGACCACAGGCUUUCAUACAGUUCUCAAGAGGAAUUCCUGACUUAUCUUGAACACUACCAGCUAACUAUUCCAAUAAGGGUUGAUCAAAAUGGAGCAUUUCUCAGCUUUACUGUGAAAAAUGAUAAACACUCAAGGAGAAGACGGAGUAUGGACCCUAUUGAUCCACAGCAGGCAGUAUCUAAGUUAUUUUUUAAACUUUCAGCCUAUGGCAAGCACUUUCAUCUAAACUUGACUCUCAACACAGAUUUUGUGUCCAAACAUUUUACAGUAGAAUACUGGGGGAAAGAUGGACCCCAGUGGAAACAUGAUUUUUUAGACAACUGUCAUUACACAGGAUAUUUGCAAGAUCAACGUAGUACAACUAAAGUGGCUUUAAGCAACUGUGUUGGGUUGCAUGGUGUUAUUGCUACAGAAGAUGAAGAAUAUUUUAUUGAACCUUUAAAGAAUACCACAGAGGAUUCCAAGCAUUUUAGUUAUGAAAAUGGCCACCCUCACGUUAUUUACAAAAAGUCUGCCCUUCAACAACGACAUCUGUAUGAUCACUCUCAUUGUGGGGUUUCGGAUUUCACAAGAAGUGGCAAACCUUGGUGGCUGAAUGACACAUCCACUGUUUCUUAUUCACUACCAGUUAACAACACACAUAUCCACCACAGACAGAAGAGAUCAGUGAGCAUUGAACGGUUUGUGGAGACAUUGGUAGUGGCAGACAAAAUGAUGGUGGGCUACCAUGGCCGCAAAGACAUUGAACAUUACAUUUUGAGUGUGAUGAAUAUUGUUGCCAAACUUUACCGUGAUUCCAGCCUAGGAAACGUAGUGAAUAUUAUAGUGGCCCGCUUAAUUGUUCUCACCGAAGACCAGCCAAACUUGGAGAUAAACCACCAUGCAGACAAGUCCCUCGAUAGCUUCUGUAAAUGGCAGAAAUCCAUUCUCUCCCACCAAAGUGAUGGAAACACCAUUCCAGAAAAUGGGAUUGCCCACCACGAUAAUGCAGUUCUUAUUACUAGAUAUGAUAUCUGCACUUAUAAAAAUAAGCCCUGUGGAACACUGGGCUUGGCCUCUGUGGCUGGAAUGUGUGAGCCUGAAAGGAGCUGCAGCAUUAAUGAAGACAUUGGCCUGGGUUCAGCUUUUACCAUUGCACAUGAGAUUGGUCACAAUUUUGGUAUGAACCAUGAUGGAAUUGGAAAUUCUUGUGGGACGAAAGGUCAUGAAGCAGCAAAACUUAUGGCAGCUCACAUUACUGCGAAUACCAAUCCUUUUUCCUGGUCUGCGUGCAGUCGAGACUACAUCACCAGCUUUCUAGAUUCAGGCCGUGGUACUUGCCUUGAUAAUGAGCCUCCCAAGCGUGACUUUCUUUAUCCAGCUGUGGCCCCAGGUCAGGUGUAUGAUGCUGAUGAGCAAUGUCGUUUCCAGUAUGGAGCAACCUCCCGCCAAUGUAAAUAUGGGGAAGUGUGUAGAGAGCUCUGGUGUCUCAGCAAAAGCAACCGCUGUGUCACCAACAGUAUUCCAGCAGCUGAGGGGACACUGUGUCAAACUGGGAAUAUUGAAAAAGGGUGGUGUUAUCAGGGAGAUUGUGUUCCUUUUGGCACUUGGCCCCAGAGCAUAGAUGGGGGCUGGGGUCCCUGGUCACUAUGGGGAGAGUGCAGCAGGACCUGCGGGGGAGGCGUCUCCUCAUCCCUAAGACACUGUGACAGUCCAGCACCUUCAGGAGGUGGAAAAUAUUGCCUUGGGGAAAGGAAACGGUAUCGCUCCUGUAACACAGAUCCAUGCCCUUUGGGUUCCCGAGAUUUUCGAGAGAAACAGUGUGCAGACUUUGACAAUAUGCCUUUCCGAGGAAAGUAUUAUAACUGGAAACCCUAUACUGGAGGUGGGGUAAAACCUUGUGCAUUAAACUGCUUGGCUGAAGGUUAUAAUUUCUACACUGAACGUGCUCCUGCGGUGAUCGAUGGGACGCAGUGCAAUGCGGAUUCACUGGAUAUCUGCAUCAAUGGAGAAUGCAAGCACGUAGGUUGUGAUAAUAUUUUGGGAUCUGAUGCUAGAGAAGAUAGAUGUCGAGUCUGUGGAGGGGACGGAAGCACAUGUGAUGCCAUUGAAGGGUUCUUCAAUGAUUCACUGCCCAGGGGAGGCUACAUGGAAGUGGUGCAGAUACCAAGAGGCUCGGUUCACAUUGAAGUCAGAGAAGUUGCCAUGUCAAAGAACUAUAUUGCUUUAAAAUCUGAAGGAGAUGAUUACUAUAUUAAUGGUGCCUGGACUAUAGACUGGCCUAGGAAAUUUGAUGUCGCUGGGACAGCUUUUCACUACAAGAGACCAACUGAUGAACCAGAAUCCUUGGAAGCUCUAGGUCCUACCUCAGAAAAUCUCAUCAUCAUGGUUCUGCUUCAAGAACAGAAUUUGGGAAUUAGGUAUAAGUUCAAUGUUCCCAUCACUCGAACUGGCAGUGGAGAUAAUGAAGUUGGCUUUACAUGGAAUCAUCAGCCUUGGUCAGAAUGCUCAGCUACUUGUGCUGGAGGUAAGAUGCCCACUAGGCAGCCCACCCAGAGGGCAAGAUGGAGAACAAAACACAUUCUGAGCUAUGCUUUGUGUUUGUUAAAAAAGCUAAUUGGAAACAUUUCUUGCAGGUUUGCUUCAAGCUGUAAUUUAGCAAAAGAAACUUUGCUU
rnacentral:sRNA from 1 species